UGAUAUUUCCUGAAAACUUGUAAUUAUUAUAAAAUCAUUUUAAAACCCUAUGUUACUUAAGUCAAUAUGGAAUAUGUGAUGGUAGAGUAUGAGUUUCUUAUUCUUGAUAUCAUUGUUACCUGGAGAAUUUAUUUCAAAAUAUUCAAAACUCUAGCUACCAUCCUCAGUGUUUUAUAUGCCUGAUAAAACUGAAAAUAUUAAUUAUGAUUAUAAAAGCUAUCUCCUCUGUAUUAUGUUUGUUCAAAAUGAGUUAGACCCUUGUUGAGAGAUUUAUCAUGCUCCUAAGAUCAAGACAUUUAUUCAGAAAGAUUCACUCUUCUGAAGUAUUAUUGCAUUAGAGGCAUGGGCUAUGCAAAAAUAGAGAUAUUUCGAGGAAAUAAAAAGGAGCAAGUGCUCGACAACCUCGCAGAAAAAAUGGACAAGUGUCCGGCAGUAGAAUUAGGGGUACCUCGGUAUCCACUUUAAAAAAAGAGAGAGAAAAAAAAAUGAUAGCCCAUGGUCCCACUAAUAAGCAAUAUGCCAGCAAGAGUUGACAAAGAUUUUAAUUUCCAAAGUCUUUGAUCUAAGAGUAUGACAUUCCCCUCCUCAGAUCCCGUUUUGAUCAGGCAAUAAAUGUAAAGUAAGUAUGCUUGAGAAUUUUUGCAAAAUAAAACAGCCUCAGUGAGAUAUAUAAAAGAUAAUGAGUGAUCUGAGAAGAACCUAUGAGGAUAAAAAGGUAUGCUAACUUUCUUUCAAAAAUAUACAAAAACUCCAAGUGACAGGAUUGAGAAGAAAGGAUCUUUACUCUUAACCAGAAACAUCCCUGACUAUGGUACACAGUGGAUUUUUAAACACCGUGCAAAUAUAAAGAUUGCUUUAAAAUGUUUUACCCCAGAUAUUGUUCUUAACCAUCCUUUUCUCGAGGACGAGUAAAAGCCUAAGUAUGGGGGUAUUUGUUGACGGUUCUUAAGUAUCAAUUUUAAUUAUCAAAUAAACAAGAGAAAGGACCAAUAUGCAACCAACACCUAGAAUAAGGGUUUGAUCUGACAGAAUUCCACGAGUUUUGUUGUUUAUCUGUUUCUGCAAGGGGUUAUCAGGAAAUAAGGAAGAAAGGCCCACAUGUCGGGAUUACAUAGAGAUAUCAACGCACCGCGCGAUUUUCUACCAUCUAGAAGACUCCAGAAGCCACGGGAAGAAGGCAGAGGCCGAAAGGGGCCAGGCCCAAGGCGCCCGCCCUGGUGACCUGGGUGCCCGCCCCCUGCUGGAUUGCUUUCGGGACUCUCUUCGCACGGGAUGUUCCACCGACCUAUUGGAUCAAGGAAAACAUAGUAGCACCUCGCCUACCGACCCAAAAACGCAUAGAGGAGGAGGACUAUAUAAGGAGACCCCCCUGUCCCCUGGAGGAGACAAGAAAUUAUCAUAGAGAUUGAAGGGUGCCCUCGAAGGAAAACCUCUUCUCUAAUUAAUAUUUCUUUUUUAGGCUUAGCAACCAAUGUAAAGUAGAAAUAGAUCUUCUAGUUUCUACUAGAUUGAGAGAGAUAGAGUGGAGGUGUAGAUUGGAGGAAGCCCGGCCUGUCGGUGUCUACUCCAAGCUUGUACCAGCGGGAUCAAGUUCUCCUAACCCGAAGCUUGCUCCUAGGAUUCUUCAGUAUUUUGACUUCUAAAUUCUAGUAAGUUCUUGUUUUAUUGUUCUUCUGGUUUAUGAGUUUACUUUAAUCUCUUCGCGUAGAGUUUAGAGUAAUCAUUGCUGGUGUAAACGUGGUGUUUAGGCUUGGGUACUCAUAGAUAUUCCCUGACUAGCUGGACCGUGGUAGUAGUGAGGAACGUGACAAUUCCGAGUUACCUUUGCAUACCAUAUCUCGUUAGCAGGAAGGAUAGGGUUUAUAGGUGCGGGUUGAACAUCCUUUAUGGUGUCUAGAUUCUUUUAGCCUCCCCAUUAGAACAGUAGAUCAUCCUUACUAAGGUUAGAAGGAGACUAAGGUUGCAGUCUUCUCUAUUUAUCACUCACAUCGAAAGACAUUCUUUGUGCCUAAAGGGUUAGUAGUAAUAGACCGAUUAGUCAGAUGCACUCUUUCUCCUAGUGGUAAAAAAAUAAAUACGAUACUCUGGAUAAUUUCCCGGGUGAAGUGCUCACCGAUAUCCGUGCGCUUGCGGAUCAAUUCCUUAUUGCGUUCCCAAAUAUCAACACUGGCCUACAAUGUAUGAAGACACAAAGCAAUAUAUCAGAAGAUGUGGGCCAUGUCAAAGGCACGAAAACAUAAACACAAGGGAUGCCAUGCCACUCACCAACAACCUUCAGAUUCAGCUCUUUGAUGUUUGGGGAAUAGAUUACAUGGGUCCAUUUCCCCCCAUCAAACAAGUGUGAGUUCAUCUUGGUGGCAGUUGACUACGUCUCCAAGUGGGUAGAGGCAUUACCUUGCAAACACGCUGACAACAUCAGUUCAAAGAGGAUGUUUGAAGAAGUUAUAUUUCCAAGAUUUGGAGUCCCCAGAGUAGUGAUAAGUGAUGGAGGAGCACACUUCAUCGACAAACGCUUCAAGCAAUAUCUAUCAAAACAUGGAAUCCGUCACAAUGUCGCUACCCCCUAUCAUCCUUAGAUAAGUGGCCAAGCAGAGACUUGCAAUAAGAAAAUCAAGAAUAUUCUUCAGAAGACAGUCAAUGAGAUGGGAACAGCAUGGAAGGACAAGUUACCCGAUGCACUCUGCGCAUACCGGACAGCAUACAAGACUCCAAUUGGAAUGUCCCCAUACCAAUUGGUGUAUGGGAAGACUUGCCACCUACCUGUUGAACUAGAGUUCAAAGCACACUGGGCAAUAAGAAGAUGGAAUAUGGACCUAUAUGUGGCUGGUGAUUAUAGAAGAAUGCAACUAUCAGAAUUGGAAGAAUGGCGAGAGAAAGCAUAUCACAAUUCGAAGAUCUAUAAAGAAAGAGUCAAAAGGUGGCAUGACAAGAGGAUCAAGAAGAAGGAGUUUGCACCCGGAGAUAAGGUAUUACUUUUUAAUUCCAAGGUGAAGCUUUUUGGGCAUGGAAAACUCCAGAGUAAAUGGGAAGGACCAUUCAAGGUAAUCAAUUCAUCAUCCCACGGAGCUAUCACACUUCAAAAUGAUGAAGGUACGUUAUUCAAGGUUGUUGACGGUCCUUAAUGCUCAUAUUUAACCAUCAACUAAUCAUGGAAAAGGACCUAUAUGCAACCAACACCUAGACUUAGGGUUUCAUCUGACAGAAUUCCACGAGUUUUGGUGUUUGUCUAUUUCUACAGGGGGUUAUCAGGAAAUACGGAAGAAAGGCCCACAUGUCGGGUUUACAUAGAGAUAUUAACGUGCCACGCAAUUUUCUAUCAUCUAGAAGACUCCAGAAGCCACGGGAACGAACGGGAAGCCGAGAGGGCUCAGGGACAGGGCGCCCGCCCUACUCCCUUGGGCGCCCGCCCAGCUACAGUGUCUAAUUUGGACCCGUUUCGCGGAUUACGCUCCACCGACCUAAGGGAUCAAGGAAAACCGUGCGAUUAAUGUCGGUUUGAUCCGACGGCCCAGAUUCAUCUGAAAAGACCAUAUAAGCAAGGCCCCCUGGCCCCUGGAGAUCAUACCUCUUCUACAGAAUCAAAGCUAGGGUUUUAAUUCUUCAUCCAUGUAGAGAGGAUCCCUCUAGUUCAUCUAGUUCUAGUUCCUCUAGUUCUAGUUCUAGUACGUUCUAGUUGUAAUCUAGAAAAUAGGGAGAGAGAAGAGGAGAGCGGAGGAGGAGGAGCCGGAUCUGUCGGAUCUUCCUCAACAUUGUACUUUUGCAGCAACUGGUUCGUUCUUCAUCGUUCUCCAAGUUCUUCAAUUCAUAAUUCCUGAGUUCUUUAAUUACUUUUAUUUACAUUCAAGUUAUUUAUUGGAUUUCCGCUUGCAUCAAGUGCUUUAGUCUUUAUAACGCUCGAGUAGUAAUUAAUAGAUUAGACGUGGUGUUUAGUCUUGUAAUUACCUGGAAUUGCACCCAAUCCAGCGGAUUGUUGUGGUAGCCCUAGGGUAGUGACAGCCCUAACGGUCGACGUAUUCCACCUCGUUUGGAUCGGUGUUUGUAGGACCGUAGUCAGAGCUUCCUAGCCCCCUUCUCAUAUCUUUCUGUGGUUUCUGUUCUGAUGUCCCGAAAUAAAUAAUCUUUGAAGUAAUUCUUGAUUCUUAGAUCAACUAGAGAACUCUCAGGAAACUUCCUCUCUUCCCACCAAAAAUAAUUAUAUAGUUAUCCUUGGGCGAUCUUGAAUCUUAAUUAGUACACUCACGUUCCCUGUGGAAAAUCAAUACUCUGGAAUACUCCCGGGUGAAAGCUACACCGAUAUCCGUGCACUUGUGGAUUUUUCUGUUUGCGUUUAAAAUACCCAACAAAGGUAAAUGGUCAACGUCUUAAAUUAUUUUUAGAGCCCAAUAAAGAAUUAGAAGAGAUAGAUGUGAUCCAUUUUUACCUUCCCAUGGAGAUUUAGAGCCCGACCUUUUUAAUCUGAUGUUUUAGGGCCAUGUAUAUAUUUUCCUAAUAAACUCUACAUCUAGAAUCACGCUCGAGGAAGCGGGCCCAUAGAGGGGCUAGGCACAGGGCGGGCGCCCUGAUAAAGAGGGCGGGCGCCCAGCCCCUGCCCCCUCUCAGUCCUGAUUUCUUCCAUCACGAUAAACACAUUUAUGGUAAACCAAAUAAUCCUACAGAUGGAAUGUUUCCCACGCACGGCGGCGGGAGUAGCCCGAGCAAACCCUAGAGGCACUUUUUGACCCCUAUAUAAACAGACCCGUGACGUCAGUUUUCAAACACCAAUCUAUUCAAUCCUUCUCUAAUUAGAGCUUACUUAGUCCCUCGCUGCUCCAAUGGCCGAAGAGUUUCACGACGAUUGGAAAGUCGUCACCUACGACCUCAACAAGAAGCCCAAGGAAGACCCCGACGCCCACGCUCUCAUCCCGGCCAACACAAAGCGAUAGCUAGAAGCCAUGCCAUUACGCCAGCACAGCUCCGCCCAAUCCUACCAUGCUCAACUAGUUCUCACCGCACCGCCGCAGCCCCUACUUCUCAAGGGACCGUCAGCCAAGAAGGAAACCACCGUCAAGGUGCCAGUCGGCACUAGGAUCCAUCCACCUAGACCCAAUGAGAGGGUCGUUGGAGUCAAGACCAACCGAAGCGGCGAGAUCAGCAGCAUCCGCUACACUACGGAGGAGGAGAGGCCUUACUUUGAGAGGAUUAGAGCAGCCAAAGUCCGUUUCAUCCCUCCAAAGGCAGCCCCGAAGCACGCUCUCAAUGCUCUUGAGACACCUCCUAAGCGUCGCAAGACUAUAGUAGAUAUUGAUGAGGACGUUCGUAGGCUAGACAGGAUCAUCAUAGAGCUCCAGUCCUCGGUUAACUCUAUCACUAGGCAGCUCUCUAACCAGAACACCAUUAUACUAGGUCUUAGGCAUGAUCUUGCUAGUGCCAAUAAGAAUAUCAGGGAGUUCGAGCGCCACUAAGUUAUCUAGAUUAGAUCUUGAGGCAAUGCAUCUUAGUUAUUUAUCUUUAAAUUUGGUUUAGAUUUACUAUUAGCUUCAGUUCACUACUAGUCAUUUGUAAUAAAUGCCUCAAGAUUAAUAAAGAGUAUUAUUAUUAUUAUGUCUUGUGUGUCUCUACUUUAUUUUUAUGCAAGAAAGCAGAAAACAAGUAUGGGGGAGAUCCCUCGACAUACCAAAUGUAGUUCGACUACACCACUCCACGAUUCAGGUACAUACUCUGCACACUUUACACAUACAUAUAUAUCUUGGAUUAUGCAGAAUACUGUCUCCGACAUGAUAAAUUAAAAAGAAUAAAAUGUUUUUGAUCAUGAUUAAUCUCACUCUGUGAUAUUUCCUAAAAAAACUUGCAAUUAUUGAAAAUCAUUUUAAAACCCUGUGUUACUUAAGUCAUUGUGGAAUGUGAGAUGGUAGAGUAUGAGUACCUUAUUCUUGAUAUCAUUGUCACUUGGAGAAUUUAUUUCAAAAACUUCAAAAUUCUAGCUACCAUUCUCAAUGUUUUAUAUGCCUGAUAAACCUGAAAAUAUAAUAAUUAUAAAAGCUAUCUACUCUGUAUUGAGUUUGUUCAAAAUGAGUUAGACCCUUGUUGAGAGAUUUAUCAUGCUCCUAAGAUCAAGACAUUAUUUCAGAAAGAUUCACUCUUCCGAAGUAUUAUUGCGUUAGAAGCAUGGGCUAUGCAAAAAUAUGAAUAAUUCGAGGAAAUAAAAAGGAGCAAGUGCUCGACAACCUCGCAGAAAAAUGGACAAGUGUCCGGCAGUAGAAUUAGGGGUACCUCGGUAUCCACUUAAAAAAAGAGAGAAAAGAAAAAAAAUGAUAGCCCAUGGUCCCUCUAAUAAGCAAUAUGCCAGUAAGAGUUGACAAGUUUUUAAUUUCCAAAGUCUUUGAUCUAAGAGUAUGACAUUCCUCUCCGCGGAUCCUGUUUUUGAUCAGGCAAUAAAUACAAGGUAAGUAUGGUUGAGAAUUUUUGCAAAUUAAAACAGCCUCAGUGUGAUAUAAGAUAAAUGAGUGAUAUGAGAGAACCUAUGAGGAUAAAGGUAUGCUAAAUUUCUUUUCAAAAAUAUACAAAAACUCCAAGUAACAGGAUUGAGAAGAAAGGACCUCUACUCUUAACCAUAUAUUUCCCUGAAUACGGUACAUAGUGAAUUUUUACAACACCCUGCAGGUAUGAAGAGAAUGCUUUACAAUGUUUUAACCACAGAUAUUUUUCUUAACCAUCCUUUUCUCGAAGACGAGUAAAAGCCUAAGUAUGGGGGUAUUUGUUGACGAUUCUUAAGUAUCAAUUUUAAUUAUCAAAUAAACAAGGGAAAGGACCAAUAUACAAACAACACCUAGUAUUAGGGUUUGAUCUCACAGAAUUCCACGAGUUUUGUUGUUUAUCUAUUUCUGCAGGGGGUUAUGAGGAAAUAAGGAAGAGAGGCCCACAUGUCGGGAUUAAAUAGAG
rnacentral:lncRNA from 1 species